rnacentral:rRNA from 1 species
UAAGUGUUGCGGUUAAAAAGCUCGUAGUCGGAGGUGUGUCUCGGACGGUCGGUUCGCCGCUUGUCGGUGCUCAACUGGCCGGUCCGGACGUCCUGCCGGUGGGGCCGCGAGGCUCCGUUAUCCUUCUUUGGUCCUCUUCACCGAGUGCCUUGGUGGGCCGGCACGUUUACUUUGAACAAAUUAGAGUGCUCAAAGCAGGCCGUUGGUCGCCUGAAUACUGUGUGCAUGGAAUAAUGGAAUAGGACCUCGGUUCCAUUUUGUUGGUUUUCAGAACUCGAGGUAAUGAUUAAUAGGGACGGACGGGGGCAUUCGUAUUGCGACGUUAGAGGUGAAAUUCUUGGAUCGUCGCAAGACGAACCGAUGCGAAAGCAUUUGCCAAGAACGUUUUCGUUGAUCAAGAACGAAAGUUAGAGGUUCGAAGGCGAUCAGAUACCGCCCUAGUUCUAACCAUAAACGAUGCCAGCUAGCCAUCCGCCGAAGUUCCUUCUAUGACUCGGCGGGCAGCUUCCGGGAAACCAAAGCUCUUGGGUUCCGGGGGAAGUAUGGUUGCAAAGCUCAAACUUAAAGGA